rnacentral:rRNA from 1 species
GACGAACGCUGGCGGCGUGCUUAACACAUGCAAGUCGAGCGAUGAAGCACCUUCGGGUGUGAAUUAGCGGCGAACGGGUGAGGAACACGUGAGAAAUCUGCCUUCAACUCUGGGAUAACUCCGGGAAACCGGGGCUAAUACCGGAUAUGAGCCUUGAUCGCAUGAUCGGGGCUGGAAAGUUUUUCGGUUGAAGAUGAUCUCGCGGCCUAUCAGCUUGUUGGUGAGGUAAUGGCUCACCAAGGCGACGACGGGUAGCCGGCCUGAGAGGGCGACCGGCCACACUGGGACUGAGACACGGCCCAGACUCCUACGGGAGGCAGCAGUGGGGAAUUUUUGGACAAUGGGCGCAAGCCUGAUCCAGCCAUGCCGCGUGAGUGAAGAGGGCCUUCGGGUUGGUAAAGCUCUUUCGGCUGGGAGAAUACGCACAGGCUAAUACUCUGUGUGGAUGACGGUACCAGCAC